CUCACCCACCUGAGAAGCUAAAGCUUGCCUGGAAGUUAUGCCUCCAGAAAAAAAGAGGAGUCAGAGCCUCUCAUGUAACUUGAAGAGUAUGAAAGAUCCACUGAUAAAAACCACUGCCCCGAACUUUUCCAAAGCACAAAAAUUCCCUGCCGACGAUUCUCCAGUCCUUGGCAAGAUCAUGAACUGGGAGCUGUGUGGAAAGACGACUGGAUUGGGAAUCGUCAGGGUCCUGCCCUGGAUUUCUUCCAGAUUACUCUACCAAUCAGCCAUCUGGUCUCGCGCUGGUCUCCAGUGAUACAGGGUGUCGUGGGAACCUAGAGGGGCAACAUGUCAUCCAACCUGGAGGUGAAGGAGUGCUGCCUGGAGGAGUGAAUUCAUCCCGAGCUGAGUCUUAAAGUUGGUGCAGAUGUUAUCCCGGUUUGCAAUUUUGAUGGAGCAUGGUGGGGACAUUGUGUCCCUUCUACUUGGCAUCAGGUGGGGUGAAGAAAUAGAAUUGGAAGACUGAAGAGUAGAAGCAUCUGAAGGGGCACUCAUGUGUUGGCAGUAGAUGCUGGCUGUGGGCUGGGACCUCCAUGUGGCCCCGCCACAUGGCUGCUUGUCUCCCAAAGGUGAGUGUCCCAAAAGAGAGCCAGGUUCAAGCUUUUAUGCCCUAAACUUGGAAGUCACACAUCUUUUCUCCAAGUUCUUAAGGUAGUCACAAAGCAUCACCCAGGUCCAAGAAGAAAAUUAGACUCUACCUCUCUUGGUUGGCAAGUUCUGCAAGAAUGUAGGAACUGGAAUAUCAAUGUGGCCAGUUUUGGAAAAGACAACCUGCUCCAAGAAAUUCUCUCCCUUUUGAUGUUAUCUGCACCCCAUAUCUGCAGAGAAAACAUGGAAAGUCUCAGUUGCCCUGUUGAAUAAUUGGGAAAACAGGGAAAGUGCAUGCACGGAGGAUGGAUGAUGCUUUCUGGUGUUGCAAGAAUGAGAGAAUAAGAGCGUGAUAACUAAGAUAGAAGAUGUGUCCCUCUUCCUCUUCGUUUUGAAGGUGGCUCCGUGGAAGCUGGAAGUUUGACAUGACUCUUCCCCAGUGUCUUAAGGAGGGGCUGUAGGAUCAAGCCAAACUUAACCCAGGUCCUAGGCAGUGGAGAUCAAAAAGAAAAAGG